CUGUGACAAAUGAGAAAAUAUAUUACUAAAAAAAUAUUUGAGAAAAAUAUAGAUAAAAAGAAAAAUUGAUACUACUAAAAAAUAAAUGAGAAAAUACCAAAAAAGAUAUGCUAACAAAAAAGAUAUGAUGUAUAUAUUGUGUAUAUAAAUAUUAUGAUGAAAUAAGGUUGGGUAGUGUAGAUAUUAUAUGCGAGGGUAUUAAGAUAUAUUCUAUAUUUGAAAAUACGGAGAAUAUUUUGGUGGGUAUUAUUUAAAUAUUGAAUAUUUUGCUAAAAAAAUUUAAAAUUAUAUUUAAUUAACGAUUUAGUUUUGAUUGGGCGGGUAUUAAUUUUUUUUUAGAAAUAAUCAAUACUUUUAUGAUACAUUAUUUAAAUACUGAAUAUUUUACUAAAAAUAUUUUAAAUUAUAUUUAAUUAACGAUUAACGAUGUAGUUUUGAUUUUGAGGUAUUAAAAAUUUUUUAGCAAUAUUUAACGCUUCUAUGGCGCGCCAAAUUUUAAUACUCGUUAAAAUUAAAUUUACUAUCUUAUGUGAGGAAAAAUCUACUAUUAUGAAUUAAAAUUUAAAUUAUCAAAUUCGCGGGUAUUAAAUUUUGGCGGGCAUUAUAACUUUAAAAUUUAAUUUUGAAUAUUACGUUAUGGGCAUUUGAAUACUACGUGUUGGCAGGUAUUAUGUUUGAAAAGAAAAAAUAUUUGAGAAAACACGUGGAUAGCAAAUAAAUUUAAUUUUACGUAUUACGUGAUUAGCGGAGGUAUUACAUGAUUGGUGGGUAUUACGUUAGAUAAGAGAUAAAUUUAGUUUUACGUAUUACAUUAUUUAUGGAUAGAAAAAAAAUAUUUGAGAAACGCGGCGUAGAUAGGAGAUAACGGAUAUGGAGGGUAUUUUUGUCAACAAAAAUGACAGAUACUUUUAUUUUUAUUUGUUGGAUGAGAUCCAAUUGUGAAAACUUAAAAUCUAUAUUUGAGAAUAAAUUAUUAUUUAAAGAUUUAUUUAAAAUGGAUGGUUGAAAAUUAUCGGACACGACAAUAUUAGUAAAAAAAAUAGAGGCAUUUUUGGAAAGAAAAAAAAUUCAAAACUCAUGCUUUUAUAAGUAGUAUAUAUAUAUAUAUAUAUAUAUAUAUAGGUAGGUUGGUAUACUAUCGGUAGCACGGAGGUUUUCAUGCUACCAAAUUGUUUUCGAUGAUGCGGUUUCCAAAUCGACGAUCGGCUCCGUUAAACUUGAUCUACACUAUUGAAAGUAUUUGGAAACUAAAUUUUAUAAUUUUUCGACAUCAUUUACCUAUCAAACGAGUAGUAGAAAAAUGAACGGUUGAAAAUAAAAAUUUCAUAAAAAAUAAUGAUAAAAGACUUGAAUUUAAGAACAGAGGUGCUGAUCUUACCCUAAAUAGUGAAAAAAAUUUUCUAUAAAAAUUUGAUCAGAUUUGGAUUAUUUUAUACCGUUAAAUUCACAAAUGCAUCACAUCUACCAUUAAAACUGUCAAUUUUGAGACCUUUUGAUAACUAGCCAAAUGAUGUCGAAAAUUUAUAAAAUUUAGUUUCCAAAUAUUGGAUUGUUUUUUCUCAUAUAUUAUUUUUUAAAAUAGUAUUUUAUUUUUUUAAUUUUUAAAAAUUUUAUGUAUUUUUAAAUAGAAUUAAAUAAAUAUAAAGUGAUGG
rnacentral:lncRNA from 1 species